UUUGUCAUUUGUACCAUCAGAAAGGUAAGAAAGUGCCCAGCAUGCAUCUGUUAGAACCUCUUCAUCAUUUGAAUGAACAAGCCGCUGAAGAGCUGAAAGUGCUGGUCUCACCUGCUCAAAUGGAGGUUGAGGCUUGCCUCUACAAAAGUUUGAUAAGGUCCAUGUAGCAUUUCUCAGCAUUGAAAGCUUGGCAUGCUCAUUCAACUGAGACAGCAAAGGAAUCAACGCCCCAUUACUAAGAACAAGAUCACGGCACCUAGGAGAGUCACCAGCAACAUUUCCGAGUGCCCACACAGCCUGCUCACGAACAUCAUCACUUGGAGAAGCCAGAAGCUUUACAAAAAUUGGCACAGCGCCAUGGUCAAUCACCACUCUGGUAUUCUCCGAGGUACCAGACGCAAUGUUUGUGAGCGCCCAAGCAGCUUCAAACUGGAGUUGUGGAAAAUCUUCCCUCAUCAGAAACUCAACAAAACGAGGAACAACACCAGAUUGAAUAACUUCCUCGAUAGGAGGACUUCUUUCAAUAGAGAGCAAUUUACGAAAUUGUGUGGUCGCCUCCAACUGCAUAUUGUUAUCAUUUGACCACACACCAGCAACCAUUGAUGGAAGACUUUCCAACUUCUUUUCAACGGUGGAAGUUUGAAGAUUAGCAGGGAACUGUUGUUGUUGGGCGGCUUGAAGGCCUUCACGACGCUUCUUGAGCAAGCUCUCUUCUCGUUUACUCUUACGGAUCUCAACCAGAUUGUCCUCUCGCCGGCGGCGGCCUUCGUCGGCAUCAACGGCAACCUUGUAUCGGUUCCUACGAACCUCGGUCCUAUCACUUGGCCUCAGAGACAUGGUAUAGAGAAUGAAAACUGCAAAAGAGAGAUGAGAUAGUAAAGGCAAUUACAGACCCUUGUGAGCGA
rnacentral:misc_RNA from 1 species